GCGAAAGUGGCGGAACUGGUAGACGCGCAGGCUUCAGGUGCCUGUGUCCGCAAGGAUGUGGGGGUUCGAGUCCCCCCUUUCGCA
rnacentral:tRNA from 1 species